rnacentral:rRNA from 1 species
CCCGCACAAGCGGUGGAGUAUGUGGUUUAAUUCGACGCAACGCGAAGAACCUUACCUGGACUUGACAUCCCAAGAAUCUCCUGGAAACAGGAGAGUGCGUCAUUAGAUGAACUUGGUGACAGGUGCUGCAUGGCUGUCGUCAGCUCGUGUCGUGAGAUGUUGGGUUAAGUCCCGCAACGAGCGUAACCCCUGCCUUUAGUUGCCAGUAGUUCGGCUGGGCACUCUAGAGGGACUGCCGGUGUCAAACCGGAGGAAGGUGGGGAUGACGUCAAGUCCUCAUGGCCUUUAUGUCCAGGGCUACACACGUACUACAAUGGUCGGUACAAAGGGCAGCUACUUAGCGAUAAGAUGCUAAUCCCAUAAAACCGGUCUCAGUCCGGAUUGGAGUCUGCAACUCGACUCCAUGAAGUUGGAAUCGCUAGUAAUCGUAGAUCAGCAUGCUACGGUGAAUACGUUCCCGGGCCUUGUACACACCGCCCGUCACACCACGGAAGUCGGUUGUUCCAGAAGUAGUUGAGCUAACCGCAA